AAAACUAGCCAGUCUUUUGGCUAUGAAACCCAUUUGGGCGAGAGUAGUACUAGGAUGGGUGACCUCCUGGGAAGUCCUCGUGAAAGGGUUUC
rnacentral:rRNA from 1 species